rnacentral:rRNA from 1 species
CUGGCGGCGUGCCUAACACAUGCAAGUCGAACGAGAAAGUGGAGCAAUCCAUGAGUAAAGUGGCGACCGGGUGAGUAACACGUGACUAACCUACCUUUCAGUGGGGAAUAACCUCGGGAAACCGGGGCUAAUACCGCAUAAUGUCUUCGGACCAAAGGAGCAAUUCGCUGGAAGAGGGGGUCGCGGCCGAUUAGCUAGUUGGUGAGGUAACGGCCCACCAAGGCAAUGAUCGGUAGCCGGCCUGAGAGGGCGCACGGCCACACUGGAACUGAAACACGGUCCAGACUCCUACGGGAGGCAGCAGUGGGGAAUUUUGCGCAAUGGGGGGAACCCUGACGCAGCAACGCCGCGUGGAGGAUGAAGCCCCUUGGGGUGUAAACUCCUUUCGAUCGGGACGAUUAUGACGGUACCGGAUGAAGAAGCACCGGCUAACUCUGUGCCAGCAGCCGCGGUAAUA